rnacentral:rRNA from 1 species
AACUAUAACGGUCCUAAGGUAGCGAAAUUCCUUGUCAGGUAAGUUCUGACCCGCACGAAAGGUGUAACGAUUUGGGCGCUGUCUCGGCAGCAGACUCGGUGAAAUCUUAGUACCUGUGAAAAUGCAGGUUACCCGCAACUAGACGGAAAGACCCCAUGGAGCUUUACUGCAGCCUGAUAUUGAAUUCUGGUCAUACAUGUACAGGAUAGGUGGGAGACAAAGAGACGUGCACGCCAGUGUACGAGGAGUCGACGUUGGGAUACCACUCUUGUGUGACCGGGGUUCUAACCUGGUAUCGAGAACAGGUACGGGGAGAGUGUCAGGUGGGCAGUUUGACUGGGGCGGUCGCCUCCCAAAGAGUAACGGAGGCGCCCAAAGGUACGCUCAGAUUGGAUGGAAACCAAUCGUCGAGUGCAAUUGCAGAAGCGUGCUUGACUGUGAGACAGACAAGUCGAACAGGGACGAAAGUCGGGAAUAGUGAUCCGGCGGUGCCGAAUGGAAGGGCCGUCGCUCAACGGAUAAAAGCUACCCUGGGGAUAACAGGCUGAUCUCGCCCAAGAGUUCACAUCGACGGCGAGGUUUGGCACCUCGAUGUCGGCUCAUCGCAUCCUGGAGCUGGAUUCGGUUCCAAGGGUUGGGCUGUCCGCCCAUUAAAGCGGUACGCGAGCUGGGUUCAGAACGUCGUGAGACAGUUCGGUCCCUAUCUGUCGUGGGCGCAGGAUAUUUGAUGGGAGCUGUCCCUAGUACGAGAGGACCGGGACGGACGUACCUCUGGCGCACCAGUUGUUCCGCCAGGAGCAUAGCUGGGCAACUACGUACGGAUCGGAUAAACGCUGAAAGCAUCUAAGCGUGAAGCCGACCCAAAGAUAAGAUAUCCCAUUGUUUCAAACAAGUAAGACCCCUUGAAGACUACAAGGUUGAUAGGCACGAUGUGUAAGUGGAGUGAUCCAUUCAGCAAGCGUGUACUAAUAGGUCGAGGGCUUGACCAC